rnacentral:rRNA from 1 species
GAAGAAAGAGGGAGGAGGGAGGAAUAUAGGAAAGUAGAACGAAAAGCGACUAGGUGCUUGUACUUGGUUAAGGUGAGUGGAGAACGGGUGAGUAACAAGUGGGUAAACUACCUCAUAGUGGGGGAUAACAGUCGGAAACGACUGCUAAUACCGCAUAGGACAUAGGAUCACAUGAUCCAGUGAGGAAAGGUGGCGCAAGCUAUCGCUAAGAGAUGGACCCGCGGUGCAUUAGCUAGUUGGUAGGGUAAAGGGGUACCAAGGCGAUGAUGCAUAGCCGACCUGAGAGGGUGAUCGGCCACAUUGGGACUGAGACACGGCCCAAACUCCUACGGGAGGCAGCAGUAGGGAAUCUUCCGCAAUGGACGCAAGUCUGACGGAGCAACGCCGCGUGAGUGAAGAAGGUCUUCGGAUCGUAAAGCUCUGUUGUUAGAGAAGAACAGCGCAUAGAGUAACUGUUAUGCGUGUGACGGUAUCUAACCAGAAAGCCACGGCUAACUACGUA